GACGAACGCUGGCGGCGUGCUUAACACAUGCGAGUCGAACGGAAAGGCCCUGCUUUUGUGGGGUGCUCGAGUGGCGAACGGGUGAGUAACACGUGAGUAACCUGCCCUUGACUUUGGGAUAACUUCAGGAAACUGGGGCUAAUACCGGAUAGGAGCUCCUGCUGCAUGGUGGGGGUUGGAAAGUUUCGGCGGUUGGGGAUGGACUCGCGGCUUAUCAGCUUGUUGGUGGGGUAGUGGCUUACCAAGGCUUUGACGGGUAGCCGGCCUGAGAGGGUGACCGGCCACAUUGGGUCUGAGAUACGGCCCAGACUCCUACGGGAGGCAGCAGUGGGGAAUAUUGCACAAUGGGCGGAAGCCUGAUGCAGCAACGCCGCGUGCGGGAUGACGGCCUUCGGGUUGUAAACCGCUUUCGCCUGUGACGAAGCGUGAGUGACGGUAAUGGGUAAAGAAGCACCGGCUAACUACGUG
rnacentral:rRNA from 1 species